GAGGAGGCGAAAAGUGAUGUGGUGGAAUUGGGGAGUGGGGAUGAGGAGGCAAAGGUUGGCUUGAUUGAAUCAGUUCCUCUUUCGAGAGGGAAAAUAAAUGGUGGGGUUGUGGGGCUUGUGCAAGAGAAAGAUNNNNNNNNNCAAUGUGUGUAGAGGAGACAGUGAAGAGCAAUGAGCCUGAAAUCGCUGUAAUGAAUGAGGACUUGCAGGGAGAUUAUAAUAGGAAUGAUGAAUGUGAAGAAAAGACCAGUGAUUCGUUGCCAAAUUCCAUGAAUAAUGAGGGUUUAGUGAAAGGAAAUUAUUUGGAUGAGGUUAUGAUGGAUGGAGGCUUUGGAGGUAAAGUUGGUGGCG
rnacentral:misc_RNA from 1 species